rnacentral:rRNA from 1 species
GUACUUCUGGUUACUGCGAUGGAGGGACGGAGAAGGCUAGGCCAGCUUGGCGUUGGUUGUCCAAGCUUAAGGUGGUAGGCUGAAAUCUUAGGUAAAUCCGGGGUUUCAAGGCCGAGAGCUGAUGACGAGUCGUCUUUUAGAUGACGAAGUGGUUGAUGCCAUGCUUCCAAGAAAAGCUUCUAAGCUUCAGGUAACCAGGAACCGUACCCCAAACCGACACAGGUGGUCGGGUAGAGAAUACCAAGGCGCUUGAGAGAACUCGGGUGAAGGAACUAGGCAAAAUGGCACCGUAACUUCGGGAGAAGGUGCGCCGGCUAGGGUGAAGGAUUUACUCCGUAAGCUCUGGCCGGUCGAAGAUACCAGGCCGCUGCGACUGUUUAUUAAAAACACAGCACUCUGCAAACACGAAAGUGGACGUAUAGGGUGUGACGCCUGCCCGGUGCCGGAAGGUUAAUUGAUGGGGUUAGCGCAAGCGAAGCUCUUGAUCGAAGCCCCGGUAAACGGCGGCCGUAACUAUAACGGUCCUAAGGUAGCGAAAUUCCUUGUCGGGUAAGUUCCGACCUGCACGAAUGGCGUAACGAUGGCGGCGCUGUCUCCACCCGAGACUCAGUGAAAUUGAAAUCGCUGUGAAGAUGCAGUGUAUCCGCGGCUAGACGGAAAGACCCCGUGAACCUUUACUGUAGCUUUGCACUGGACUUUGAGCCUGCUUGUGUAGGAUAGGUGGGAGGCUUUGAAGCGUGGACGCCAGUUCGCGUGGAGCCAUCCUUGAAAUGCCACCCUGGCAUGCUUGAGGUUCUAACUCUGGUCCGUAAUCCGGAUCGAGGACAGUGUAUGGUGGGCAGUUUGACUGGGGCGGUCUCCUCCUAAAGAGUAACGGAGGAGUACGAAGGUGCGCUCAGACCGGUCGGAAAUCGGUCGCAGAGUAUAAAGGCAAAAGCGCGCUUGACUGCGAGACAGACACGUCGAGCAGGUACGAAAGUAGGUCUUAGUGAUCCGGUGGUUCUGUAUGGAAGGGCCAUCGCUCAACGGAUAAAAGGUACUCCGGAUAACAGGCUGAUACCGCCCAAGAGUUCAUAUCGACGGCGGUGUUUGGCACCUCGAUGUCGGCUCAUCACAUCCUGGGGCUGAAGCCGGUCCCAAGGGUAUGGCUGUUCGCCAUUUAAAGUGGUACGCGAGCUGGGUUUAGAACGUCGUGAGACAGUUCGGUCCCUAUCUGCCGUGGACGUUUGAGAUUUGAGAGGGGCUGCUCCUAGUACGAGAGGACCGGAGUGGACGAACCUCUGGUGUUCCGGUUGUCACGCCAGUGGCAUUGCCGGGUAGCUAUGUUCGGAAAAGAUAACCGCUGAAAGCAUCUAAGCGGGAAACUUGCCUCAAGAUGAGAUCUCACUGGGAACUUGAUUCCCCUGAGGGGCCGUCGAAGACUACGACGUUGAUAGGCUGGGUGUGUAAGCGUUGUGAGGCGUUGAGCUAACCAGU